UGAGUACGAGAUGCUACGGCAUCGAAGCAGUCUAUGUCAUACUUCCAAGAAAAGCUUGCACUGUCAUAAACAAAGAAUGCCUGUACCAUAACCGACACAGGUGGGUAGGUAGAGUAUACUAAGGGGCGCGAGAUAACUCUCUCUAAGGAACUCGGCAAAAUGACUCCGUAACUUCGGGAGAAGGAGUGCCUUAUUUCUAAGGUUGCAAUAACAAGAUCCAAGCAACUGUUUACCAAAAACACAGGUCUCCGCUAAGUCGUAAGACGAUGUAUGGGGGCUGACGCCUGCCCAGUGCCAGAAGGUUAAAGAAGUUGGUUAGCAUUAGCGAAGCUGAUAACUGAAGCCCUGGUGAACGGCGGCCGUAACAAUAACGGUCCUAAGGUAGCGAAAUUCCUUGUCGGGUAAGUUCCGACCCGCACGAAAGGCGUAAUGAUUUGGAUACUGUCUCGGAGAGGGGCUCGGUGAAAUAGACUUGUCUGUGAAGAUGCGGACUACCUGCACCUGGACAGAAAGACCCUAUGAAGCUUUACUGUAACUUGAGAUUGAAAUUGGACUUUAUUUGCGCAGUAUAGGUGGGAGGCGUUGAGAAUAAUCUUGCGGGAUUGUUGGAGCCAUCAGUGAGAUACCACUCUUGUAAUGUUAGAUUUCUAACUUUGUAUCAUUAUCUGGUCAAAGAACAGUUUCAGGCGGGCAGUUUGACUGGGGCGGUCGCCUCCCAAAGGGUAACGGAGGCGCACAAAGGUUUCCUCUGAACGGGUAGAAAUCGUAUCUAGAGUGUAAAGGCAUAAGGAAGCUUGACUGUGAGACCUACAAGUCGAGCAGGGACGAAAGUCGGUCUUAGUGAUCUGACGGUGCUGAGUGGAAAGGCCGUCACUCAACGGAUAAAAGUUACUCUAAGGAUAACAGGCUGAUCUCCCCCAAGAGUUCACAUCGACGGGGAGGUUUGGCACCUCGAUGUCGGCUCAUCGCAUCCUGGGGCGGUAGUCCGUCCCAAGGGUUGGGCUGUUCGCCCAUGAAAGCGGUACGCGAGCUGGGUUCAGAACGUCGUGAGACAGUUCGGUCCAUAUCCGGUGUAGGCGUUAGAAUAUUGAGAGGAGCCUUCUCUAGUACGAGAGGACCGAGAAGGACAUACCUCUGGUGUACCAGUUAUCGUGCCAACGGUAAACGCUGGGUAGCUAUGUAUGGAGUGGAUAACCGCUGAAAGCAUCUAAGUGGGAAGCCCACCUCAAGAUAAGUAUUCUCAC
rnacentral:rRNA from 1 species